UUUAUACUCCCUCCGUCCGAAAAAGCUUAUCCCUCAAAUAGAUGUAUCUAGCAUCAAGUUAGUGCUAGAUACAUCCAUUUGAAGGACAAGCAUGGGACAAGUUUUUUCGGACGGAGGGAGUAGAUC
rfam:Triticum aestivum genome assembly, contig: Triticum_aestivum_CS42_TGACv1_scaffold_343153_4DL